ensembl:snRNA LOC120094534 U2 spliceosomal RNA
AUCGCUUCUCGGCCUUUUGGCUAAGAUCAAGUGUAGAAACCCACACUUACUCUCUGGAAUGUAUUUCCUUCUCUUUUUUUUUUUCGGAGCUGGGGACCGAACCCAGGGCCUUGUGCUUGCUAGGCAAGUGCUCUACCACUGAGCUAAAUCCCUAACCCUAU